CUUAAUUUACGUUUAUGUAAGUUUUUCUUGUUUUUGGAGUGGAUAUUGUUAUCACUGAGAAUUGUAAAAUUCUCAUUCCUUUACUUUCAUGUUUUUUUCAUAAAAAGAAAGCAACUUGCUUGAGACAUUCCAGAUAGUAGACGAGAGUAUGUGUCAUGUACGCAGGAUCAUAAGUAGUUAGUUAGAGACACGUCAGGUAGUCGGAUCAUGGUCACAAUAUAGGUCACCACGUAUAUAAGGAGUCCUUAAAUUAUUUUCAUGACUCUGAUAAUGUAGUUUUGAAAGAAUUAUUAAAAAUAAAUUUAUUUGUCCACUCAAUUUUUAGUAUUUAAGUAUUUCAACACAAUUAUGAUUCUUUCUUUUUACACGA
rnacentral:lncRNA from 1 species